AUGAAGGCAGUCCAAUUAAGGGCCAGUGCAUAUGAGUGGACAACACUUAGUAGCUGUGGAGGAAGCUGCAGAGUCAGAAAACAAAGAGGAGGAGAAGGAUGGGAAACUCUUAAGUAUAUCUGGAAAUCGAUCUGCCCUGCAGGUGGUAGCAAGUUUCCACAGAAAAAAGUAAAACGUGCUGCUGACAAAGAUGAUGAUGAAGAAGGUGAUAAUGAUGAUGAUUUUGCUGAAGAGGAAACUGAAGAAAAAUCUUCAGUGAAGAAAUCUACAGGAGGUAUUUCAACCCAAAAUGCAAAACAACAAAACCAGAAUGGAAAAGACUCAAAACCAUCAACAUGAGAUUAAAAGGUCAAGAAUCCUUCAAAGCACAAGAAAAAACUUUUAAAACACCAAAAGGACUUAGUUCUGUAGAAGACAUUAAAGCAAAACUGCAAGCAAGAAUAGAUGAAGGUGGUUUUCUUUUUUGUUUUUUGAGACGGAGUCUCGCUCUGUCGCCCGGGCUGGAGUGCAGUGGCCGGAUCUCAGCUCACUGCAAGCUCCGCCUCCCGGGUCUACGCCAUUCUCCUGCCUCAGCCUCCCGAGUAGCUGGGACUACAGGCGCCCGCCACCUCGCCCUGCUAGUAUUUUGUAUUUUUUAGUAGAGACGGGGUUUCACCGUGUUAGCCAGGAUGGUCUCCAUCUCCUGACGUCGUGAUCCGCCCGUCUCGGCCUCCCAAAGUGCUGGGAUUACAGGCUUGAGCCACCGCGCCCGGCCGAUGAAGGUGGUUUUCUUCCCAAAGUGGAGGCCAGGUUCAUCAGUUAUGUGAAGAAUUGCUUCCGGGUGACUGACCAGGAGGCUAUUUGAGAUCUCUGGCAGUGGAGGAAGCCUCUUUAAGAAUAGUUUAAACAGGUUGUUCACAUGUUUUCAUCUUAUUUCAUUUGUGUGACAGUUGAUAUCUGGCUGUCCUUUUUAUAAUGCAGGGUGAGAACUUUCCCUACCAUGUUUGAGAAAUGUCUGGAUUCCAUCGCCAAGAAUGUGUUGUCUGAAACGCCUGUUUAGUAUUUAAAGGUAGAACUCUGCCCUUUGCUUGGUUUUAAGUAUGUGUGAAAUGGUACUACGGGACAUAGUAGUAGUGAUGGUCAGACAUGGAAAUGGUGAGAAGACAAAAAUAAACAUGUGGAAUACACCCAGUAUUUGAAGAAAAAAGGAAGAAAAGCUUUCACAAAGAUGUAGCUAAUGUUUAUUUCAGUGAGAUUGGUGUUUAGGGAUGAACAGUUUGACACAGAAGGACCGGUGACAGGGAAGAGCACAAAACCUUUUCUGGUACCAGUGGUCAGGGCAUUCAUAGUGAUGGUUCCCUCUGCCCAGAGGCUCUGGCCCCAGGCCUGGCAGGGUGGCCCUGAGCUGCCUAGCAUGAGCUCCAUGUGCUGAGACAGGCCUUGCCUGACCCCUAGUCUCCAUCAUCUCACUCUCUUGUAUUGUCGUCAUGUGACUGCAUAUGAAUUUCCCUUGUUUAUCUUGCUUUAUUUUUAGACUAUUCAUCUUUUUUCUUUUUUGAGAUGGAGUUCCACUCUUGUCACCCAGGCUAGAGUGCAAUGGCAUGAUCUUGGCUCACUGCAACCUCUGCCUCCUGGAUUCAAGCGAUUCUACUGCCUCAGCCCCCCGAGUAGCUAGGAUUACAGGCACGCACCACCACGCCUAGCAGAUUUUUGUAUUUUCAGUAGAGACAGGGUUUCACCAUGUUGGCCACGCUGGUCUCAAACUCCUGACUUCAGGUGAUCUGCCCGCCUUGACCUCCCAUAGUGCUGGGAUUACAGGCAUGAGCCACCGCGCCUGGCCUAGACUGUCUAUCUUUAACCCCACCUAGGAUGUGGACCCCAUGAAACCCAGGACCUCAUUUGUCUUGUUCCUUCCUGUAGAGCAGUGCCUGAAAGAAGGCUUGUCAUGAGUUGGGUACACAUUUUCAUUUCACCAAUAGUUUAUAAGCUUUUUGCUCACCUAGAGCUAUUAAUCUGUGGGUUACCUCACUGUCCCUUUUGUGCUGUCACAGUCCUUCCAACCCUAUGCAAGCAGUUCAUUCUAUUAACUUUGUUUGAAAUACCCAAAGUGGUUUCUGUUUUCAUGACUUGACCUUGUCAAAGGGUGAUGAGACCAGCACUCAAUAUCUGGGGUGAGUGGGAAGUAAAUGUAUUGCUUACUAUUGAAAGGGAGAGCUAUGUUAGUCAGGCACAUUCUCUCUGAGCAGAACCUUCUGCUAAUAUUAUAUAAGGCUCUGGGGAAGCAUGGAUUUCAGGGAUUGGAGGACAUUUAGAGACGUAAAUGUGUUGGCAACAUCUGCAGAAGCACUCUCUGAGACUGUUGUUGAUUGGCGGCACUCAGAGGCAUGUUUAUUGAAAUGAGUCCAUCCUGCCUAGCUGACUUGUAGAAGUGAGGGUUGACACUGAUUGGUUGGCUUGCAAAAGCAGUCACUGAGACAAGUUGUUGAUCAAUAGAACAGGUUUAAAAUCAGUUUUGGUGACUUCUUGUUACCAUGGUUAUAUAAAAAUCAGUCUUUCUGAAUUAGUGAACACUUACUUUGUUUUUAUGUUCAACCCUGACUGAUAGACCUACCUUAGUCCAGCUUUGGACUCUAGGUCUUUUACAAACUUUGCACCUUAUUAACUUUGUGACAUUUCUUGAAUAAGUCACUUAACUUUACUAAACUCCUCAUUUAUCAGAUAGGGCCAGUGAUGCCUACCUCUCAGAUUAUUCUGAGAUUAAAUGUUAUAAUGAUUGUGAACACUGUAAAUUAUAAAACAUUCUGAAAGCAUAAAACACAU
ensembl:lncRNA